rnacentral:rRNA from 1 species
AACAGUAACUGACUUCACAUUUGUGUCAGCGAGCACCAGUUCUCGUCCGAUCACUGAAGUUAAGCAAAGUUGGGCCCGGUUAUUACUUGCAUGUGUGACCGACUGGGAAUAUCGGAUGUUGCAGGCU